rfam:Streptomyces avermitilis MA-4680 = NBRC 14893 DNA, complete genome.
CUUGACCGAGCCCAGCCACACCGGCCGGUCGUCGGAGUGUUCCUGGCCGUACGUGGCGAGGAGCGCCUGCGCCUC